rnacentral:misc_RNA from 1 species
CGCACAUUGCGCCCGCCAGUAUUCUGGCGGGCAUGCCUGUUCGAGCGUCAUUUCAACCCUCAAGCCCCCGGGUUUGGUGUUGGGGAUCGGCAAGCCUUCUGGCGAGCCGCCCCCUAAAUCUAGUGGCGGUCUCACUGCAGCCUCCAUUGCGUAGUAGCUAACACCUCGCAACUGGAACGCGGUGCGGCCAUGCCGUUAAACCCCCAACUUCUGAAUGUUGACCUCGGAUCAGGUAGGAAUACCCGCUGAACUUAA